rnacentral:rRNA from 1 species
AUUGAACGCUGGCGGCAGGCCUAACACAUGCAAGUCGAACGGUAACAGGAAGCAGCUUGCUGCUUUGCUGACGAGUGGCGGACGGGUGAGUAAUGUCUGGGAAACUGCCCGAUGGAGGGGGAUAACUACUGGAAACGGUAGCUAAUACCGCAUAACGUCGCAAGACCAAAGAGGGGGACCUUAGGGCCUCUUGCCAUCGGAUGUGCCCAGAUGGGAUUAGCUAGUAGGUGGGGUAACGGCUCACCUAGGCGACGAUCCCUAGCUGGUCUGAGAGGAUGACCAGCCACACUGGAACUGAGACACGGUCCAGACUCCUACGGGAGGCAGCAGUGGGGAAUACUGCACAAUGGGCGCAAGCCUGAUGCAGCCAUGCCGCGUGUAUGAAGAAGGCCUUCGGGUUGUAAAGUACUUUCAGCGGGGAGGAAGGGAGUAAAGUUAAUACCUUUGCUCAUUGACGUUACCCGCAGAAGAAGCACCGGCUAACUCCGUG